AGGAUGAACGCUGGCGGCGUGCUUAACACAUGCAAGUCACGGGGGGUAGCAAUACCAACCGGCGAACGGGUGCGUAACACGUGAGCAACCUACCGAUUUGAGGGGGAUAGCUGGCCUAACGGCCAGGUAAUACCGCAUACGCUUGUAAGGCCUCCUGGUCUAACAAGGAAACCUCCGGGGCAGAUCGAGGGGCUCGCGGCCUAUCAGCUAGUUGGCGAGGUCACGGCUCACCAAGGCGACGACGGGUAGC
rnacentral:rRNA from 1 species